rnacentral:lncRNA from 1 species
AAGCGCGGGAUCUUCCUCGGCAGGGAUCGUGUUCCGCGCUGUCUUCACUUGCCCCUAGGGGUUGGGGGCGCACUGCUUUUCCUCCCGCUGAGUCCGAGGGGCGCCGGCUGUUCCUGUUGGAGGGGCCUCCCUCGUCGGGAGGGCGGGCAGGCCGGCGGCGUUCGGGUCACAAGGGCUGUCGCCACGGCAGGCCCACGGGCGGCUCCUGGCAACGGCUCCUGGGCGGCCGAGGCCGAGCAACGUGAGAGCGGCCUGGCCCACGAGAGGGGGCGACGACGAGCCGCCGGCCGCGCCCGCCCAGGUACGGCGGGCAGUGCCCCCCCCCGCGCGCUUGGGGUCCCGAGGCCUGUCAGUGUCAGACGCGGGCAGGUCCUGCAGGCCCGCCGGCGAGGGAACGAGGAGCCCCCGAGGAAGGGCGGCCGGGGGGUUGAAGCGCUUGGGCUCACGCAGGAGCAGGAGGGUGUGGACAGAUGUGCAGCCUGUGGCCCUUUCCCCUCCUACAACUGUAGCCGAGUCUAGAAGCCAAAAGAAAAAGGCAGGUAAAGCGGAUGAGUAGGGCUGGGGGGAGCAGGUGCAAGCAGUUUGGUCCAGGAUCAGGUGGGUGCCCUGAAUUAACUCCUCUCUGGCACAGAAAUGAGCUGCAAAAGGCUGGCCUGUUCCUGAGCCAUUUUGGCCCACAGCAGACCCAUCUGAGGCACCGCGGCCAAGCUGAGUCCUGAAUCGGACAAAGAAGCAAUUCAUAAGGGCCCAAACCUCCUCAUGCUCUCCAGCUACUUCACAAAGCAUUAUCUCCGUUUAGCUGUGGUGUUUUUGUCACCAAGAAAAACAAUAAGCCCUUAUCCAGCUCUGUGGUGGCCUUGCAGCUAAAAAUAUUCUGUUUUUAGGCCUCCCUUCACUUGGUAGACAGAAACACUAGUUUUCUCACAAGAUAACGUUGGUGUUGGGCAGAAAUAUGCUAGCAAAAACAAACGAAUGUCUUGAAAAAGCUCCCAGGAUAUUUUUAGUAACAAGCUUGGGUAGUUACUUGUUCCCGUUCCCAACUUGAAAGUACGGGGUGUUUAAAGAAGAAAGAAAAACAGCCCCUUGGCAGUGUUGCCGCCUCCUUGUGAGAGCCUCCCAGCGAACACUCAACAGAAUAUUAUUCCUAUCAGUCAGGGAUCCUUUGAAGAGGUAGCCAGGGUUGGCUUUCUGUGUGNACCAGCCGGAAACCUCCCUUGCAGAUCCGUCAGCCUGUGAAGGUGAGCNGAGCCUCCAGCUCUCUGUCAAGGGCCCCACGGUGCCCUGCUAGACGGGGCCAAGGGCCCUCCUGGUCUCCUAGCACCCAGACAAAGGCUCAUGGGAAGCCAGGCAGAAGAGCUGCAGCGGCACUCUCUUUGUCUGCACGCCUCCCAGCAGCGGGUCCCCAGCGUCCGUCUCUGUUCUCACGACCAGUCCUCUUUAGAGACACGUAGGUUGAGGUCCUCGCAUCUCGUGGCAGUGGGUUUUGUGUCUUGCUCUGUGUUGUGAAGAAAGCGGAACC